UACGAAGGUGGCAAGCGUUGUUCGGAUUUACUGGGCGUACAGGGAGCGUAGGCGGUUGGGUAAGCCCUCCGUGAAAUCUCCAGGCUUAACCUGGAAAGUGCAGAGGGGACUGCUCGGCUAGGGGAUGGGUGAGGAGCGCGGAAUUCCCGGUGUAGCGGUGAAAUGCGUAGAGAUCGGGAGGAAGGCCGGUGGCGGAGGCGGCGCUCUGGAACAUUUCUGACGCUGAGGCUCGAAAGCGUGGGGAGCAAACAGG
rnacentral:rRNA from 1 species